rnacentral:rRNA from 1 species
CGCCAGUGUUGGUGGAGCCAUCCUUGAAAUACCACCCUGGUAUGUUUGAGGUUCUAACUCAGACCCGUUAUCCGGGUCGAGGACACUGUGUGGUGGGUAGUUUGACUGGGGCGGUCUCCUCCCAAAGCGUAACGGAGGAGCACGAAGGUGCGCUAAGCAUGGUCGGACAUCAUGCGGUUAGUGUAAAGGCAUAAGCGCGCUUAACUGCGAGACAGACACGUCGAGCAGAUACGAAAGUAGGUCAUAGUGAUCCGGUGGUUCUGAAUGGAAGGGCCAUCGCUCAACGGAUAAAAGGUACUCCGGGGAUAACAGGCUGAU